ACUACGCCCGCGUUAGCGAUGGAAGUGGAAAUCCUUUAAUGAAGCGCAGCGGAAUUAAAGAUUGCAACGGACAGCGCGACCCGAG
rnacentral:sRNA from 1 species